rnacentral:rRNA from 1 species
UACGUAGGGGGCAAGCGUUGUCCGGAAUCAUUGGGCGUAAAGCGCGUGUAGGCGGUUCAGUAAGUCUGCUGUGAAAGUCCAGGGCUCAACCCUGGGAUGCCGGUGGAUACUGCUGGACUAGAGUGCGGAAGAGGCGAGUGGAAUUCCCGGUGUAGCGGUGAAAUGCGCAGAUAUCGGGAGGAACACCAAUUGCGAAGGCAGCUCACUGGGACGGUAUUGACGCUGAGACGCGAAAGCGUGGGGAGCAAACAGG